rnacentral:siRNA from 1 species
UAUAUAAGAUAUGCGCCUCUCCA